AUUGAACGCUGGCGGCAGGCCUAACACAUGCAAGUCGAACGGUAACAGGGAUCAGCUUGCUGAUUCGCUGGCGAGUGGCGGACGGGUGAGUAAUGUCUGGGAAACUGCCUGAUGGAGGGGGAUAACUACUGGAAACGGUAGCUAAUACCGCAUAACGUCGCAAGACCAAAGGGGGGGACCUUCGGGCCUCUUGCCAUCGGAUGUGCCCAGAUGGGAUUAGCUAGUAGGUGGGGUAACGGCUCACCUAGGCGACGAUCCCUAGCUGGUCUGAGAGGAUGACCAGCCACACUGGAACUGAGACACGGUCCAGACUCCUACGGGAGGCAGCAGUGGGGAAUAUUGCACAAUGGGCGCAAGCCUGAUGCAGCCAUGCCGCGUGUAUGAAGAAGGCCUUCGGGUUGUAAAGUACUUUCAGCGGGGAGGAAGGGAGUAAAGUUAAUACCUUUGCUCAUUGACGUUACCCGCAGAAGAAGCACCGGCUAACUCCGUG
rnacentral:rRNA from 1 species